UACUAGAGUAGCACUCGCAUAUCAAUAAGCGGAGGAAAAGAAACUAACAAGGAUUCCCCUAGUAACGGCGAGUGAAGCGGGAAGAGCUCAAAUUUGAAAUCUUAAAGGGUUUCCCUUUACGAAUUGUAGUUUAAAGAAGUGUUUUCUGUUGAGGUUUUGGUAAAAGUUCUUUGGAAUAGGACAUCAUAGAGGGUGAGAAUCCCGUAUUUGACCUUUACUUUCAACUUUGUGAUACACUUUCAAAGAGUCGGAUUGUUUGGGAAUGCAGUCCAAAAUGGGUGGUAAAUUUUCAUCUAAAGCCAAAUAUUGGCGAGAGACCGAUAGCGAACAAGUACCGUGAGGGAAAGAUGAAAAGAACUUUGAAAAGAGAGUUAAACAGUACGUGAAAUUGUCAAAAGGGAAGCGUUUGACACCAGUGUUGUUUUUCUGAAAAUCAAUUAAAGAACUGUUUAUGCUAAGUUGUUUAGACUUUAUCAGCUAACUGUUUAGUUUUGAGCUUUUCUUUAAUGCACUUUUCAGUUAACAAGUCAACAUCAAUUUCUUUUGCUGUAAAAAAGCUUGAGGAAGGUGGCUUGAGAUUCGUCUUAAGUGUUUAUAGCCUCUUGCCUAUGCAGUCGGAGAGAUUGAGGUCUGCAGCGUAGAUCCUUCGGGGCUAAAUGCAUUUGUGCUAAGUUAUAGCAUUUUAUAGACAACUUGUUGACUAUGAUUUGUCUUGUAGCUUACUCGCUUAUGUUAUUUUACCUACGCUUAGGAUGUUGAUAUCGCGCUCUCACUG
rnacentral:rRNA from 1 species